rnacentral:rRNA from 1 species
UACGUAGGGUGCAAGCGUUGUCCGGAAUUAUUGGGCGUAAAGAGCUUGUAGGCGGUUUGUCGCGUCUGCUGUGAAAUUUCGGGGCUCAACCCCGAACUUGCAGUGGGUACGGGCAGACUAGAGUGUGGUAGGGGGAGACUGGAAUUCCUGGUGUAGCGGUGAAAUGCGCAGAUAUCAGGAGGAACACCGAUGGCGAAGGCAGGUCUCUGGGCCACUACUGACGCUGAGAAGCGAAAGCGUGGGGAGCGAACGGG